GACAGAGGAUGCAAGCGUUAUCCGGAAUGAUUGGGCGUAAAGCGUCUGUAGGUGGUUUAUUAAGUCUACUGUUAAAGAUCAGGGCUUAACCCUGAGCAGGCAAUAGAAACUAAUAAGCUAGAGUACGGUAGGGGCAGAGGGAAUUCCCGGUGUAGCGGUGAAAUGCGUAGAGAUCGGGAAGAACACCAACGGCGAAAGCACUCUGCUGGGCCGAAACUGACACUGAGAGACGAAAGCUAGAGGAGCAAAUGGG
rnacentral:rRNA from 1 species